AGAGUUUGAUCCUGGCUCAGAGUGAACGCUGGCGGCAGGCCUAACACAUGCAAGUCGAACGGCAGCACAGGAGAGCUUGCUCUCUGGGUGGCGAGUGGCGGACGGGUGAGGAAUACGUCGGAAUCUGCCUAUUUGUGGGGGAUAACGUAGGGAAACUUACGCUAAUACCGCAUACGACCUACGGGUGAAAGCGGAGGACCUUCGGGCUUCGCGCAGAUAGAUGAGCCGACGUCGGAUUAGCUAGUUGGCGGGGUAAAGGCCCACCAAGGCGACGAUCCGUAGCUGGUCUGAGAGGAUGAUCAGCCACACUGGAACUGAGACACGGUCCAGACUCCUACGGGAGGCAGCAGUGGGGAAUAUUGGACAAUGGGCGCAAGCCUGAUCCAGCCAUGCCGCGUGUGUGAAGAAGGCCUUCGGGUUGUAAAGCACUUUUGUUGGGGAAGAAAAGCACUGGGUUAAUACCCUGGUGUCAUGACGGUACCCAAAGAAUAAGCACCGGCUAACUUCGUGCCAGCAGCCGCGGUAAUACGAAGGGUGCAAGCGUUACUCGGAAUUACUGGGCGUAAAGCGUGCGUAGGUGGUUUGUUAAGUCUGAUGUGAAAGCCCUGGGCUCAACCUGGGAAUUGCAUUGGAUACUGGCAGUCUAGAGUGCGGUAGAGGGUAGCGGAAUUCCCGGUGUAGCAGUGAAAUGCGUAGAUAUCGGGAGGAACAUCCGUGGCGAAGGCGGCUACCUGGACCAGCACUGACACUGAGGCACGAAAGCGUGGGGGAGCAAACAGGAUUAGAUACCCUGGUAGUCC
rnacentral:rRNA from 1 species